GCUCGUCCCUGAUGCGAUUCAGUGUAAUCCCCCCUUUUUUUUGUCCUUGUGCUAUGCGCAGCUUCUAUUGGCAAGUGAAUGUUGAGGAGAUUCAAUUGUCAUAAGAUGUCAUGCUAUUUUGAGCGGAAACAUUCCAAUGACUUGAAUGCUGUUCUCGGGUGAAAAAAAGGCAUAGACCCUGGGUGAAAUAGGCAUAAAGGUGACCAUAAUUGGACCGAGUGUACCUUUUGUAGUGGAGCGUAUGUCUUUGUACACAACAACCCCUCUGUGCCUUUUCCACCUCCCUUCGUAAAGGAUUAUUUGGAGGUAUUGUGCAGGGGGCUUAUGUGCCCAGCUGGCGCUCUCUUGUUUAGAAUCUGUUUGCAUAUACGCAGUCUUAAUGUCUUUGCUGCCGUCCACGUUUGGAUUGAGACAUAGUCAUUUGAAGCACUGUGAAUACAAUAAAAAAAGAACGAUAGCUUUACGACUCCUGGAUGACAUAAUUAGGCGGAAGGCCGCAGUUGGUAGACAAGUACCUCCAACUCGUUAUCCCUUCUGGUGUCAGUAGUUCUUCGUUGGAUUUUAUUCCUAAUAACUAACAUUGUUUGAAUGCGCCUGCUAUUGGCUGUCAACCAGUGCAGGGUCCGAUCGCCACUCGCCCAAAGUCAUAUGGGAUAGGCUUCAGUACACCCACGACCCCGCAGGAUAAGCGACAUCGAAAAUCGAUGGAUGUUGGUUUUGUUUUCUGUUUUAGCUAUACAGUGCAUUUCAUUGGAACGUGGUUGUUGUGUUUCUGAAGCCUUAUUAGUGCUGUCUUCACAUCACAUACAAUAUUUUAUGAACUGGUUUCUAUUUUGUUAAUUUAAUUUUCCAACAUUAUUAUUUCUCUUCCUGAGUCUGUUAGUUUGAAGUGUGUUGUAUGUUUUUGUGAAGAUAAUGUUUUGUUUGCUUACUAAAAACUUGUUUUACUAAAGUGUAAGGAAAAGUAGCUUUGAAAUGUUGACAAAAAUGGACCAAUUCAGUCAGUGUUUAGUAAUCACACUACAAAUGCUGAAUCAACACAUGCAGUUACAUAAAUACUGGACAUUCAUUUUUUCACAUUUUGUUAUUGUAUAUAGCCUACUCCUUGUCUUAAACCAUUUUUAACAUAAUGAAGACCCACUUCACAAGGUGCUAAAUGACACACCUUGCCGACAUUCCCCCCCCCCAAAGCAGACAGUACACUUGUCUGGGAGUCAGACUUACACACAGACACCACAUAGUCCAUCUGUAAAAUACGGAGUCAGACAGACAUGCGGAUAUGUGAAGAUGUGAGUAUGAUAGCUCAGCAACCCUUAAAUGAUAAUGGCAUGCCUGCUGUCCAUCAAUUUUCUAGCAUGGAGGACACGGAGUACACCCUCUACUGGUCUCUAGAAGAUUAUUGUAACUGAAAUGGAAUACCCAGAGAAAACCCACACAAGUGUGUGGAUAACAUGGAAACUCGACUUAGAGAAACACAAGACGUUCAAACCCCCAACCUUAGAAUUUUGAGGCAGAUGUACUAAUCACAACGCUUCACGGUGCUGCUUGAAUACACUUCAGUGUAAUUACUUUUUACAAUAGAUAGGCAAAUGUUGCAUUUUUAAUACAACAACAAAACUGACAUAAUUUUAAAAGUCUGAUCCAGAAUUGGGGCAUGUAAAGUUCCAGUUCUCCUGCUCCUGUCAUUCUUUGACCAGCUGUUUCACAAGUCAGCCCAAGUGUUGGACAGCCGCAUUGGAGAGAAAAAAACAGUCUACUUCUAUUUACAACAUGGCUAGCACAGGCUUAGCAUGGCCUGUGUGAUUUCAGGAUUAUUCAAGUGUUAAAAUUGGAAGCUAAUCCCUGUUAGCUUUGCUUUUUAAAGCUUCAUGACAAGGCUUGAAUGGGGAAUACAUGAGGUUGAAGACAUCUAAUGAUUACUUUAUGUUGGUUUCAAGGGAUGGAAGCAAGUGUUCAAUAGCUAUUGUCAUUGCCAAGCUCAUUCUAUAUCAAGUUCUCAAAAAUAUUUGGUAAAUACAAUACUUGUUACUAGUAACUAUCCAACUGAACUUUAAAUUUGAAUAUACCCUCAAUACUGCAGAACAGAGUUAAAGAAGGACAUCCUGUUUAUUAUGAGUGCCCGUAGUGCAAGUUUUUGUUUGCCUAUUUUUUAUAUAAAACUAACUUCUAGGUAUUCAGUUUUUAUAUCUUUCAGUUUAACAUUUAUAGUUACAUUAUUAUAUCCAUACACUGCCAAGAAAAAAGCUAUGAAAUCCUUAAUGUUUCUGGCCUACCGUGUUCAAUUGACCCAUAAUUAUUCAGAGGAUCUCUGAAACUACCCCCUGGUUUCCUUGGCAACGGCCAUGUGGCUGACUCAUGAAUCUUGUGGUAACGGGUUUAAGAAGAAACCGAGAUCAACAUAAUGCUGGAUUUUGUUGAUCUCGGUACAUUUAAAAAAAAAAAUUAUUAGUUUUUUUAAUGUACAAAAACAUUCAGUAGCCAGCCUGUCAGCUUUCAUGAGGCUGAAACUAACAUUGUUUCUACCGGAUAGAAAACCUUAACCAUUGUCAGAACUGGUGGCUCAGGUCAAACAAGUUUUCUACCUUGUGUUAAGUCACCUCAUCCAUGAAAGCAAAAAGAGCUGCUUACAUCAGUCUUUUAAAUGCUCAUCUGUACUUAUCUUUUAUGUGAAUGUUUAUAAGCAUUAGCAUUGCAUACAACAUUUCCUGACAUCAAUAAGUAUUGUGAAAUGUUGAAAGAUGUUACCAUUGGCCUUUUUCUAUUCAUUGAAGGAUAUGCUGACUCUUGACCACAUCACCAAACGUAUGUUGGUCUGUAUUCACAUGUGACCAACAAUGAGCCAUUGAAGAAAGCUUAUUGUUGAAAUUGCAGCAGUGCAAUAAGUGCACUACGGUUGAGUGGUGGGCAAUAAGUUGACAGAGGUCUGAAACUUUUUGAUAACAAAACAGACACACACUCAAGAAGGUAGACGGCAAAGGGGAAAAUAUAUCAAAAUGUUUGCUCUUGUUAGUGCUUGUUUUUGAAUGUAUGCAGUGGCAGUACAUCCUUCCUGAAUGCCAUUUUGUUUUUAAAGCAGGCACACCCAGUUUCACUGACACACUUGCAUAAUCACUUGCAAGAUUCAGGCCCAGAUAAACAGACAUGCUUGUGUAAUUUUGUGGUAGCUGAGUUCUAUUCUCAAGUUAUGUCAAACUACUUAAUUCAGUGAAAUAUCCAAGCUAUGUAAGAAUUUAUAGCAUUCAGAGUUUCAUAGCGAAAAACGAUUUUUUCUGGUGGUUCAGAGCGGUUUCAGCCACACGAUUAUAAAACAAUCCAAGCACUUCAUUGUGGUGUUUUAAUGCACUAGCUGUGUCACUCUUGGGUUAUUUUAGUAAUUAGCAUGUCUUGUAGCUUAUUCACCACAAUGAAGCUAAUGAUUAUGGUCUUACGUUCUCACCAGACAUAGAUAACUUCUUCGCUUCCUCAUAGCUCCUUAGACAUAGUAAAAGGAGCAACUCAUAUUUUUAACCGAUUGAGUGAGUAGCUGGCUGUGUUGAGUGGUUAAUAAAGUAAAAAAAAAGAGUUCAAGAAUAUCUGAAGGGGAGGGUCCUGCCCUACGAUAGUGAUAUUUCUGCACUGAACAUGCUACAAAAAUGCCCCUGUGUCAGGUCUCCCACUGAGGUAGGCAAGUGAUUUCCUUUUCACAAACUCAAGAGUUCGGAAACGGGUCGAUCACAAGAGAUUGGCUGUUUGAAAAGUACAUCUUUGGUCAAAAAAAGGUUGACCACAAUGAUUGCUGAUUUUGAUUCCAUGUUGGAUUCCCUUUCCAACAAUACCUGUGAUUAACCCAAUAAUUCCUGAAAUAUAAAAGUUGAAAGGAAGGCAGUCAUGCUCGUUUUUGCUAAACAUUAAAAUUCAAUGGGCCACAGCUCCUGUUCCGAUUGACCUGAAAUUUGCGAUUUCGUGUCGUGCCAUCACAGUACAACAAGUUUGAUUAAAAUCUAAAUCUACUUGGUUAAACCCACUGAGUGAUUUGGCAUGGAAUGUCUCUUUCGUUUUUUUCUGCUAAGUGUUUGUUCAAUUGUAAAUCCGACAAUACUGGUAUCUCACUCAUGCUCUGUAAUGAUGCUGCUUUUUAAUAUCUCUUCCUACAUUUCACCCCAAAAAUCUUUCGUACAAUGGACUGUAUUUUUACCAACACUAACUUAAACUGCUCUUACAUAGUACCAAAUGUCUUGCUUCUAUCCUUUUCCAGUGUCAUUUUUUAAAAGCAUGAGAGCGUGUGACCGGGCAGCCCAUGUAUUCGUAGUGUAUGACUUUAGAGGAGUGCCCAAUGCAAACAGAUGUCAGACCGCUGCAGUAGAGGAUACACCAGCACAGUGUUGCAAAAACACAGCCACAGGAAGAGAUUAUACUUGAGUUGAUACGAGUUUGGUAGACAGAUGCAUGUGAGGAGGACAUAUUUAUAGUUGUCUACAUGUGGCUAAACCCAUUAUUUUGAAGAACAUGUUAAUAGCUGUGUUUCAGUUGCCUUUGGAAAUGUGCAAAUGCAAAUUGCGUAAUAGUAGACAGAAAUAGAAUUUUCGAAAAACCUCUCAAAUAAUGCAAAAACGAGGUGGUAUUUGAGACGUGUUGAAAUGUAUAUAUAUGGCAAAAGUGUAAUGGAAACACAUUUUUUGCAUUUUCACUAGUCAUGUGAGCGCCACCUGGUCACGUUCAAAGAGUGAGACCCAGUCCACCAUCACUGCAGCAGCAACACACUCUCCAGCAACCCCAGCGACGCGCACUGGUUUUGACGGAGGAUAUUGUCACGGACCUCUGAUGCAUGCCUGUGGGCCGUUCCCCGCCCAGGCAGCGUGACAGCUAUUCCCGUAUGGGCCCGAAUAGAAGACGUUUUUUCGGGGUCGUCUUAUAUUCGGGGUCUGGACAUUAUACCCAUUCACGACGCUAGAUGGCGCCAGAUAUCAUUGAAGCGAAUGCUGAACUUGACUCUCCAGCCAAAGCAAACCCGUCAUGAAGAAUAAAAAUAAAAAUAGCGGUAGCACAAAGAAGAAAAAUAAAUAGAGGUAUGAAAGAAAAGAAAAGAAAAGAAUCGAAUAGAUAACAGAAAAUGGACAAACGUAGCGACAAUCUGGAGAAAAGUGGGUCGAAGAUCGGCUAGGUUAACCGGCAGCUGAAGAGAAGUGAUGAUGUAAUUUACAUUCCAAAAACCAGAAGCCAUUCAUUUACGAAUGUGCUUGCACUUUAGUUUACAUAUUUAAAUGUUCUGAUAUUAAGAUUUGAAUGAGGCAAAAUAACAUGCUUUUUCUCUCAAAUACAUUGUUAGAAUCAUUUGUUUCAGAUGUACUGUAAUUAUUUUCUGUAUAAAAAAUAAUUUGGUGUUCAAAAAGUCUUUUUUCAAACUUGAGUCUUGAAAAAGAGGGGGUCGUCUUAUAAU